UGGUUCAUCUGAAAAUGUUUGAUUACAUGUAUAUCUGUCUUUAAAACAUGUUUGAUAAUAUAACAAACUUUUAACAUGUAUAUUUUAUAGCAGCUGUUAUAUUAACACGUACAGGGCAGAAGUCAACUGAUGUGUUUAUACUUGCAAGGUUAAAAAUAAGAUGUUCCAAGUCGUAUUCAAAUUUUUAACUGGUUUGGUUAUAGAUAAUCUGUGCCUUCAUGAUAUAUUAAUAUUUAUAUCUCCAUAUAAGGCAGGCGUUAGUCAUUGCCAUAUGUGUUGUAUGUACUGCCAUCUUUCAUAUUGUUGACUACCAUGAUCUGGCUAGUCCACUUUGUGUGGGGUCUUUUGUGCAAACCUGCUGUUUGCUUUUGGUGGCUGUUUUUGGUCAACAAUAUUUUUGUUGCAUGUAUAUUUGGUACAUGUUGAUAAUGUAUACAUCUUUGUUUAAUAUGGGGGAGGUCAUUUGCUCACCUUUUAUAACUUACAUUCAAUGUCUGGUUAUUGAUAUUAUGACUGUUUGAAGACCUCCCCUUAUUGCCUAUUUUUUCUUAUUAGCAAAAAUAAAUGGCAGUACAUACACACAACCAUGUUUUAUAUUUUUCUAUCAAUCCUAGACAGAUCAACAAUAUUACAUAAUACAGCAUUAUUGUAAAUAAUAGCAUUUAUGUAAAUUGUGAUAUGUUAUUUUUAUGCUAGUACCAAAAAUAGUAGUCUAGUUAUAAUAUAAUUGUAAUUCUAAUUUUUGAGUACUUUUGAGUAUUUAGCUGAUCUUCCUUUUUGUUUACAUUAACCAAUCAGAGUGCGGCAUUUAGUCGCGCGAUGUUUUGACUACGUCACUUUAACUGUCAGCUGUCAACAAGUUUGUAAAUACCCGAAGUCAACCCACCCUCCUUCCCCUUCAUCACCUUUGUAGUUGGGGAUUUAUUUUGCAAUGUAUUACACAUGUAUGUUGCUGUUGGUGUGAAAUGCUGUUUUUGGUCAACAAUAUUUUUGUUGCAUGUAUAUUUGGUACAUGUUGAUAAUGUAUACAUCUUUGUUUAAUAUGGGGGAGGUCAUUUGCUCACCUUUUAUAACUUACAUUCAAUGUCUGGUUAUUGAUAUUAUGACUGUUUGAAGACCUCCCCUUAUUGCCUAUUUUUUCUUAUUAGCAAAAAUAAAUGGCAGUACAUACACAC
rnacentral:misc_RNA from 1 species